UACGGAGGAUCCGAGCGUUAUCCGGAUUUAUUGGGUUUAAAGGGUGCGUAGGCGGUUUGAUAAGUUAGAGGUGAAAUGUCGGGGCUCAACCCCGAAACUGCCUCUAAUACUGUUGGACUAGAGAAUAGUUGCGGUAGGCGGAAUGUAUGGUGUAGCAGUGAAAUGCUUAGAGAUCAUACAGAACACCGAUUGCGAAGGCAGCUUACCAAACUAUAUCUGACGUUGAGGCACGAAAGCGUGGGUAGCAAACAGG
rnacentral:rRNA from 1 species